GAAUAUUGGACAAUGGGCGCAAGCCUGAUCCAGCAAUGCCGCGUGAGUGAGGAAGGCCUUAGGGUUGUAAAGCUCUUUCACCCGCGACGAUGAUGACGGUAGCGGGAGAAGAAGCCCCGGCUAACUUCGUGCCAGCAGCCGCGGGAAUACGAAGGGGGCGAGCGUUGUUCGGAUUUACUGGGCGUAAAGGGCGCGCAGGCGGCAGAUCAAGUCAGGCGUGAAAGCCCCGGGCUUAACCUGGGAGGUGCGUCUGGGACUGAUUUGCUAGAGUUCGGGAGAGGAGCGUGGAAUUCCCAGUGUAGAGGUGAAAUUCGUAGAUAUUGGGAAGAACACCGGUGGCGAAGGCGGCGCUCUGGACCGAGACUGACGCUGAGGCGCGAAAGCGUGGGGAGCAAACAGG
rnacentral:rRNA from 1 species